rnacentral:rRNA from 1 species
UGGGCGCAAGCCUGAUCCAGCCAUACCGCGUGGGUGAAGAAGGCCUUCGGGUUGUAAAGCCCUUUUGUUGGGAAAGAAAUCCAGCCGGCUAAUACCUGGUUGGGAUGACGGUACCCAAAGAAUAAGCACCGGCUAACUUCGUGCCAGCAGCCGCGGUAAUACGAAGGGUGCAAGCGUUACUCGGAAUUACUGGGCGUAAAGCGUGCGUAGGUGGUUGUUUAAGUCUGUUGUGAAAGCCCUGGGCUCAACCUGGGAACUGCAGUGGAAACUGGACGACUAGAGUGUGGUAGAGGGUAGCGGAAUUCCCGGUGUAGCAGUGAAAUGCGUAGAGAUCGGGAGGAACAUCCAUGGCGAAGGCAGCUACCUGGACCAACACUGACACUGAGGCACGAAAGCGUGGGGAGCAAACAGGAUUAGAUACCCUGGUAGUCCACGCCCUAAACGAUGCGAACUGGAUGUUGGGUGCAAUUUGGCACGCAGUAUCGAAGCUAACGCGUUAAGUUCGCCCGCA